rnacentral:rRNA from 1 species
CCUACGGGUGGCAGCAGUGGGGAAUAUUGCACAAUGGGGGAAACCCUGAUGCAGCGACGCCGCGUGAGCGAUGAAGUAUUUCGGUAUGUAAAGCUCUAUCAGCAGGGAAGAAGAUGACGGUACCUGACCAAGAAGCCCCGGCUAACUACGUGCCAGCAGCCGCGGUAAUACGUAGGGGGCAAGCGUUAUCCGGAUUUACUGGGUGUAACGGGAGCGCCGACGGCAGUGCAAGUCUGGAGUGAAAGCCCGGGGCGCAACCCCGGAACUGCUCUGGAAACUGUGCGGCUAGAGUACUGGAGGGGCAGGCGGAAGUCCUAGUGUAGCGGUGAAAUGCGUAGAUAUUAGGAGGAACACCGGUGGCGAAGGCGGCCUGCUGGACUGUGACUGACGUUGAGGCCCGACGGCGUGGGGAGCAAACAGGAUUAGAUACCCCAGUAGUC